GACGAACGCUGGCGGCGUGCUUAACACAUGCAAGUCGAGCGGAAAGGCCACUUCGGUGGUACUCGAGCGGCGAACGGGUGAGUAACACGUGAGUAAUCUGCCCCUGGCUUUGGGAUAGCCACCGGAAACGGUGAUUAAUACCGGAUACGACCACUUCUCGCAUGGGAUGGUGGUGGAAAGUUUUUUCGGCCAGGGAUGUGCUCGCGGCCUAUCAGCUUGAUGGUGAGGUAAUGGCUCACCAUGGCUUCGACGGGUAGCCGGCCUGAGAGGGUGACCGGUCACACUGGGACUGAGACACGGCCCAGACUCCUACGGGAGGCAGCGGUGGGGAAUAUUGGACAAUGGGCGGAAGCCUGAUCCAGCAACGCCGCGUGAGGGAUGACGGCCUUCGGGUUGUAGACCUCUUUCAGCAGGGACGAAGCGCAAGUGACGGUACCUACAGAAGAAGCACCGGCCAACUACGUGCCAGCCGCCGCGGUAA
rnacentral:rRNA from 1 species